AACUCUUGGCAGUAUCGUAGCCAAUGAGGUUUAUCCGAGGCGCGAUUAUUGCUAAUUGAAAACUCAGACUCUCUUUUGAUCUCUCUAAUACUCUUCAAAUUCAUGGCCAGCAUUUUGC
rnacentral:snRNA from 1 species